rnacentral:lncRNA from 1 species
CCCUUCCAUUGUUUGGACUAAACCUUCCCAGAUUUACUUACUUCCUUUUGAUGUCUGGCAAUGUUUGUUUAUUAGCGCCAGUGGCCUGUGUUAACUCUGAGUAAGUCUUUGACUAAAUCCCAUUCUCUGCCUUUCCUCCCUUCACGGGCUUGUGAGCUGAUAAACUUCAGUGCUGGCUUUCAAACCCAGUGAGGUUAAACAUGAACUUCUUUUACACCUGCCUGCUUUCCCAGCUAAUGGACCCUGGUGGCUGCUGAGAGAGGAGUCCUUUUAUGGCAAAGAGAAGGCUGCAAAAGUUCAUUUCGUUUCUGUGCUUAAGUACCAUCUUGGGACUCAGGGUUUAGACAAUCUGAAGUAUGAAUCAAGAGAAAGAAGAUGAGAGGCUGUUUGGGAAAUGGUUUAUUUUCUAGGUGGGAAGGCACACCAGCUGACUGGGUUUCAUCGUGUGGCUAUUUCAGCAAAAUUUUAAGGAGUCAGAUGUCUUGCCUAGGAGCUGUCCCUUCCAAGCUGCACAGCUAUGGGUGA